AAAUGCAAUUACAGGGCAAGAUCUCUAUUGGCAGGAGUCCCAUUACUUCACUCUUGCAUAUGUAUAUAACUUCACUAUGCAUUUGUUUGUGGUGAGCUUUCUGCCAAAGGAGAUUUGCCCGGUAAUUCUUCG
rnacentral:pre_miRNA from 1 species